rnacentral:rRNA from 1 species
CCUACGGGGGGCAGCAGUGGGGAAUAUUGGGCAAUGGGCGCAAGCCUGACCCAGCAACGCCGCGUGAAGGAAGAAGGCCCUCGGGUUGUAAACUUCUUUUGUCAGGGACGAAGCAAGUGACGGUACCUGACGAAUAAGCCACGGCUAACUACGUGCCAGCAGCCGCGGUAAUACGUAGGUGGCAAGCGUUAUCCGGAUUUACUGGGUGUAAAGGGCGUGUAGGCGGGGAAGCAAGUCAGAUGUGAAAUUACAGGGGUCAACCCUGGAACUGCAUUGAAAAUGUUUUUCUUGAGGGAUGGAGAGGG